rnacentral:rRNA from 1 species
GAUGAACGCCGGCGGCGUGCCUAAUACAUGCAAGUCGAGCGAAUGGAUUAAGAGCUUGCUCUUAUGAAGUUAGCGGCGGACGGGUGAGUAACACGUGGGUAACCUGCCCAUAAGACUGGGAUAACUCCGGGAAACCGGGGCAAAUACCGGAUAACAUUUUGAACCGCAUGGUUCGAGAUUGAAAGUCGGCUUCGGCUGUUACUUAUGGAUGGACCCGCGUCGCAUUAGCUAGUUGGUGAGGCAACGGCUAACCAAGGCAACGAUGCGUAGCCGACCUGAGGGGGUGAUCGGCCACACUGGGACUGAGACACGGCCCAGACUCCUACGGGAGGCAGAAGUAGGGAAUCUUCCGCAAUGGACGAAAGUCUGACGGAGCAACGCCGCGUGAGUGAUGAAGGCUUUCGGGUCGUAAAACUCUGUUGUUAGGGAAGAACAAGUGCUAGUUGAAUAAGCUGGCACCUUGACGGUACCUAACCAGAAAGCCACGGCUAACUACGUGCCAGCCGCCGCAGUAA